rnacentral:rRNA from 1 species
GAUGAACGCUGACAGAAUGCUUAACACAUGCAAAUCAACUUGAACUUCGGUUUGGGUGGCGGACGGGUGAGUAACGCGUAAAGAACUUGCCUCACAGAUAGGGACAACAUUUGGAAACGAAUGCUAAUACCUGAUAUUAUGAUUAUAUGGCAUCGUAUAAUUAUGAAAGCUAUAUGCGCUGUGAGAGAGCUUUGCGUCCCAUUAGCUAGUUGGAGAGGUAACGGCUCACCAAGGCGAUGAUGGGUAGCCGGCCUGAGAGGGUGAUCGGCCACAAGGGGACUGAGACACGGCCCUUACUCCUACGGGAGGCAGCAGUGGGGAAUAUUGGACAAUGGACCAAGAGUCUGAUCCAGCAAUUCUGUGUGCACGAUGAAGUUUUUCGGAAUGUAAAGUGCUUUCAGUUGGGAAGAAAAAAAUGACGGUACCAACAGAAGAAGUGACGGCUAAAUACGUG